rnacentral:lncRNA from 1 species
GGAGAGCAGUACCCCCAUGGCUGCAGAAGCAUUUUCAAAGGAAAAAAUCUAUUAUAAUGAAAUCUUAUGGGCAAACCAAGAUCUGGUGUUAUGUGAAGAAGUCUUAAACAGUACUUCCUAGGACCUGGAGCUGUGGUGACUGGCAGGAAGAGAGUCCAAGACAGGCUUCUGCUUCUACUAUUGACAGGACUCAGAGACCAGAGACCAGCAGGAACACCAGCAACACAGCAGGACCCUGGCUAGAGCUGCCAGGAUGGAGAGUUUCAGGAUUCUCAGCUGUCUUGGACAACCCCCUACCUUCAAAUUAAUGACAAGGAGUCCCAGUGCGAAACAUGAUGGUCUGAAAGUGCGAGGAUCCUCAGGAAUGGACCAUCCAGGGGAUUUUCAUUAUACCAAUUGGCUGUCCUCGGACUUUCUGGUACGGAUGUUCCUUUCAAGAAGAGUUCGUGUUCCAGCAUGUCAGAGGGGCAGAAGAUGGUGAUAGAUAUCUCUCCCCACUCUUCCUAAGGCUGGUGAUCAACACUCCUGUAACAAAAGACAGGUAAAUGAGAGAAAAGCAUAGCAAAUUUAUUUAAGCAGUUUUGUGUGACACAAGAGCCUUCA